rnacentral:lncRNA from 1 species
CCUUGGACAAGUUAUAUAACUCUAAGCCCCAGCUCCCUUGUGUGUAAAGUGGAAAUAACAACCUCAUAAUGUGGAUACAAAGGUUAAAUGAGAUGAAGUACAAACGUAGCGUUGCAGUGUCUCCUACAUAAUGGCACCUAGGAUGGACGAUUAGGAAAAUCUCCCCCAACCCAUCUUCCACAUUUUCAAAAUGAGGGCAAUUACACCAAGGACAAGACUGCUGUGAGGGCUACAGAAUAAAUCACAGAAAGCCUUCGAGGUGACUGGCAUACGAUGGUACUUAUUUGCUUCCUGAAAAUAUUAGCUGUGACGAAUGGGGAGGGGCACAGGGAUGGUAUCCUUCAGCAGCGGACCCCGGGGCCCAAAGCUGAAGAGAGAAGGGCUGGGAAAAGCCAUUCCCAGGAAGAACACAGUGCUCCGAAGCACCGGGCACUGGGCUCUGGGCUCUGGGCUCUGGAUCUGCCCACAGAGCGGGAUCAGAUGCAGGCGGUUGUGAAAUGACAAAUGCAACUGAAUCUGAGUCACCUAGGAUGACGUGCAGAGUGUGUGGAUUAGGUUGGCCCUGGCUCUGGCUGCCUCUCUUUCAGGCACUUCCAACUUCACCAGAGGGCUGAGAAGAGCAAGGAGAGCAACGGGAAGGGAUUUGCUACUACUUUGCCUGUUUUCCGAGGAAGGCAUACUGGCUGUGGAGGAUCAGAAUGAUCUGGAGAGUUUUCAGGAAAAGCCAUGUCCAUCCAGACUUGAUCUGGCCCCAGGCAGAGCAGGAUACCUGAUGGUCACACAUGCAAGAGGAACCUACCGGGCAGCACUUCCAGAUGCCUCCCCCCGGCUCUCCUACUGCUCCCUCAAAGCCCCGCUUCAGCUUACGAGUGCCUCGCUUUCUCCUAGCUCAAGAUGACAGAACGUUAGAAAAACAAAAAAAGGUUCCAACAAUGGCUAAAAUCAUAAAGUACAUCAAUCAGUUUCAGGUGAUGAAAAUGAGUAAUGAAGCCCUGUGAUCUGUCUAACCCACCGAAUCGACGGGGGACCCUCUACGUUUCCCCACCCUCCCAGCAGGCUCCUUUGGUCCCCAGUACAACUUUGAAAUACAUAAAGCCAUACCUAUAAAAAAAUUAAUUUCCUUCCCAGAGGACAGAGGACUCUGAACACCUAAAAGUACAAGGGAAUACUGAGUCUCUGCAGUAAUUACUAAGCCACUAAUUGUCUUUGGGGCCUGCUAUCUGGCUUCAGUCACAUCCACCCCAAUUCUGCGAGCCUUGGGGGCACAGGGCUCUCUCUCCUGCCUGCCCAUCUCAGUG